GUGUUUUGUGCACACUCUCCUGUGCAGAAAGGAGACAUCGCCAUCUGCCGGUUGUCGUAGGAACUGCAGUGGAAGUUUGGCGCUGUGAGUAACGGUAAGUUUUGACACUCAGAGCGGUCCAGAGAUUUGUUCGUCAAAGGUAGUUCGAAAUGCAAAUUGCUUAAUAAUUUUGCUACAAACAUGUUUGGAAGCCUUUGUCAUGUAUUUGGCGUCGAAUAAUACCGAAUAUUAAGACAGUUGUGAGGUAAUUUCCUACGAGAAUAGGCGUUUUAUGAGACAAUUUCUUGACUGAUUCAUCUUGGGUGCCAAGAAACUAAUUUGACCUUCAUUGAGAACAUCCCACCUAACAGGUGAACGGGUUUGUCUUUGACAUUUGUUCAGAGCGCUGUCUGAAAGAAUGUUCUAGGUGAUGUGCUGAAAUGGAGAUCUCUUUAGAGAACAGGCAGGUGAUGCAUAAAUAUCAGACAAUUGCAUGGACCUGGCAAUGGCUAUGAAUGAAUUCACACAAGGUUUUGGAUGCUGGAUGCUAAAGUCUAGGUGCCAAUGGCUUCCACCCUUACAGAUGGAAAAUGACCCGAAUGGAAGGUGUCAGGAAUUUUGAUGGCCCUGUGAGACCUGGACAGCACUAACUACUUGCCUCCAGGCACAAGAGUUGAGGUAUAGGGUGGUAGCUGAAGGUAUGCUGGCCUACAUGUGUGAACAAGGCAGUCAGCAGGAGCACCUGGAAUCAAAUUAUGCAGAUUCCACUCAGGUGCUUCCAUUGAGAGUUUUCAUGACCUUUUGUCCUGGUUUCUGUUGACUGUUUUGUUGAAAUCACAAUAAUUCAUAAGCAUUUUCCAUUUUAGUGAUGUUGCUCACUCAAAAAAAUUAAUCAGAAAUGGUUUUGGUUCUUUUCAGCUACCAAUUGGCACGAUAUGUUAAAGUGACAAGUGAUAAACACUCCCAUGUAAUUUCAGGUCAUGACAUUCAAUUGCUUGGUUGCUAUUACAGUGGCGUUGUGCCCUAACCAACGUUAAAUUUAACUUUGUCCCAAAAUCGCACUGUAUAUUAAUCAUCAGUUUUGCUGUUUUUGGCUGUAAAUGUCUUGUGACAUUGUGCUUGCUAAAUACUGGUUUUCCUGGUUAUAACACCGUGGCAAUAGCUGAAGAGCAGGUGGUGUCAAAUCCAAAUAGAUAAAUGGCCUAUAGGUCUUUAUUUUUUUCUGUUGAAUGCUGGUUCAACCAGAGAGAAGAACGAAACCAGGACAAUCCUCUGACCUGCAGAAGGAGGGAUUGUGAAAGCCAAACUAAAGAGUAUGUCUGAAUUUAUAUAGCACACAAUUUAAUAACACCUGCACAUUCUUGUUCUUGAGGCACAAUGUUUCAGAAUGUUUGGCAUUAUGUUAAUACCCACAAGGAGUCAAGUUAAUAAGAGAGACCUUUGUCAUACAAUAAACAGCGGGAAGCUGUAUCGGUGCUUAUCUCGCCUGAACUUCUUGCAGCUACUAGAUUUAUACACCUAACCCAACCUGGGGCAAAAGGCCCCUCGUCCUGAUUCCAUAAUCAGAUAACAGGAUUCUUUCAUGCAUGACAUUGUUAGCCAUUGCCUCACCCAAAUAACUAAAAGUGUGGCCUAGAUCCAUAGUUUGAGACACUGUGAAUUCCAAGCAUAGAAUAUAAAUGUACUAAAAAUGCCCAGAGACAUAUUUGAAGACAAUUUUCAAUUUUGAUUGGUCAUUAUUUUAAUUGAUCAAAUAUUUUAGUGAAAUGACCAUUAAUUUAAUGAUCCAUAAUCCCAGCCAAUUGAUAUUAUAUGAAGCUGUGCUAGUCUGUAAUAUUACUCUGCUCUCUCUUUCUUUUCAUAUAAUUUCAACUCAUAUCAGUAUUUCAUGUCCAUUUAUUCAUUUAUUUGGAAAGUACCUGUAUAACACGAAGGAAUAACAUACCAUUAACUUCGCAUCAGGUUUAGGCGAUAAUAUGUGGAUGAAUGAUCACCUUUCAAAGGAUUUUUAAAAAUGUUUUUGAAAGUCUUUCAUUCUC